UAAAUAACACUGCACCGCUCAAACGUCAGAUAGUGAACUCGUGCAUCGGUCCAUUGUGGUGAUUUCGAAAUGUCAAACUAUUGAUUGUUGUGAAAUGGAUGCAAUUGAGAUGGUGAUGAUCAUGUGGUAAGUGCGAUGAAAUUUUAUCUGAGAAUCGUUUCUUUGCCGGCCAGUGAAAUAUCCCCGUAGAUUGACGGCCAAAAUCAACCCGGAAAAUUUUCACUAGAGAAGAAUAAAUUCUCAAAUCGAAGUCCAUCACAUUUAAGUAAUUAAUUAUAACUUUGAAAAUUGAGGUUAUGUUUUAUGCUUCUCAAAAAAAUUUGAUGAUAAUUAGAUUUUAUUUUUAUUAUUGCUAGUCUUUGGAAUAAUUUCGUGGGUUCAUUUGAAUUCAGUUUUGAAAACUUUUCUCCUUAAUAUUCCUAACAAUUUCUAUCCUACAAUAAAUUAAAUUGAUAAAAAUUACAUAAUAAAAAUCAUAACAAUUCAACUAAAUUUACAACACAUGCACAAAAACUAAAAUAAAGAAAUGGCCAUCAUGCAAAAUAAUUACAAAAUUUACAAGAGAAAAAUCUCAUAUUUUUUUUGGUUGAAUUAACGAGUUUUUGGUUUAAGAAGUCCUCCUAGACAAAGCUAUUAACAGGAAACACUUCACAACCAAAACUCCCACAACACAAAUAUACACGCAAUCAAUGCUUUUUCUUUUAGGUACUACGACCAUUCAUCUCUAGUGGCUUCAUUCAGCUUUAACACUGCCCCUGAUUAAACGACUGAUUACAAUCAGGACAGCUGCCGAUAAUGAAGGCUAGUAGACGUCCUUCUGUCUCACUACCACAAUGGGUACUCAGUGAGUAGAUCUUCAUGAACAUGGGCCCAAUUAACACAAAUUAAAACUUCCUAAGAAUCUUCUUACAAUCACUGCCUCCGCAGCAUUGAGAAAAGACGUCGAAGAGGUCAAGCAUCCGAAGAGCAUCGCGUACGAAGACUGAAUGAAAUAGUGGCUCUAGAAGAACUAUUAACAGAGGAACUCUGUCCGUGCUGAGACGAACUUCCCUGGAUUCGAGUUAUGUAACACCCACAUGAUUUCACUUUCGGUGUUUCAACUCCACAGUGACGAAAAUGCUCAUCAUAUCAAUCACCACUUCUGAAUGGGUGUUGUCGCGCAACGUAGUUUGCAAUGAAAUUUAAAAUUAAAAAGAACUAUUUAUGAGCUAAGAGUAUCACAAAUUUGAAAACCUAGUUAAUUGAAAAUGCC